rnacentral:lncRNA from 1 species
CGCAGCAGCGGCGGCAGCAGCAGUUAACGCUGAUGCAACUAUUGCUGCUGUUGCUACCGCCUUCCCACUAACGGGGCUUGCAGCCCGGGGGGACUGGCCGCUUCCAGGGGCAACAAGCAUCUCUCUACCACCCUCCCCUGCGCCCCAGAGAGAGGCUGCCCUAUCAAGUAUGACUUAUAUUAUUCUCAUGUGAAAGAUGAGGAAACAGGGCCCAGUGAGUGAAGUUACUUAACUAAGUCCCCAUGGUUGAUACAGAAGACUGUCAUAUGAACCAGUGAGAGUAACUGAAAUCAAAAAAAAGGCUCCAGCAUCUCGGUAAAAACAUGCCACAAGGGACGAGAAGGAGAAGUUUCAACCAGCAGGCCAAGAGACCAGAGACAAGCCAUGUGUGGACAAGCCUCUGCUUUAGGCCCAGAAGGAAAAGAAAUUCAUAGGAGACAAUGAGUCUCAGACUCUUUCUUGGUUAUGAGCAAGAGUUCCCUGGAUCUAAGAGGAGAAUAUUGAAGAAAAGUCUGCUGGAAAAAAGCAUACGUAAAACUGUAGAAGGGACCAGGAAUCACAGAUCUGUGCAUGUCUGACUUCCAUAAAGGAAGUGCUUUCUGAGAAGAGACAGA